UGGAAAUCAAAUCUAAUCCAAUGUACUUACCAACAGAUGAUUCCAGAAAUAUGUGUUAAAACAUCAAUCUUCCUAAAUCAAAGAGUCGUGUCAUCAGAAGAAUACACUGCACUUUUCAAUGUCAAUACAGUUAUUUGUAACUUUUUUUUUAUCUACAUUCAUUGUAAAAUUCAUAUUUUAUUCAUGAUAGCUCAGAAGACAUCUUUGCUUGCCAUGUGCAUGCUUCAAACCAGUUCAAAUUUUAAAUGUUUGAAGUUCUUUUGGGUAU
rnacentral:lncRNA from 1 species